rnacentral:rRNA from 1 species
UACGGGGGGUGCAAGCGUUGUUCGGAAUUAUUGGGCGUAAAGCGCGCGUAGGUGGUUCAGCAAGUCAGGUGUGAAAGCCCUCGGCUUAACCGAGGAAGUGCGCCUGAAACUACAGGGCUUGAGUACCGGAGGGGGUGGCGGAAUUCCCGGUGUAGAGGUGAAAUUCGUAGAUAUCGGGAGGAACACCAGUGGCGAAGGCGGCCACCUGGACGGCUACUGACGCUGAGACGCGAAAGCGUGGGGAGCAAACAGG